rnacentral:rRNA from 1 species
GAUGAACGCUAGCGGCAGGCUUAAUACAUGCAAGUCGUACGGGAUCCGAGGUAGCAAUACUUUGGUGAGAGUGGCGCACGGGUGCGUAACACGUAUGCAACCUACCUAUAACCGGGACACAACCUCGAGAAAUUGAGGCUAAUAUCCCAUAACACUGCGAGAUGGCAUCAUUUUGCAGUUAAAACUCCGGUGGUUAUAGAUGGGCAUGCGCGACAUUAGCUAGUUGGUGAGGUAACGGCCCACCAAGGCUACGAUGUCUAGGGGUUCUGAGAGGAUUAUCCCCCACACUGGUACUGAGACACGGACCAGACUCCUACGGGAGGCAGCAGUAAGGAAUAUUGGUCAAUGGGCGCAAGCCUGAACCAGCCAUGCCGCGUGAAGGAUGACGGCCCUAUGGGUUGUAAACUUCUUUGUACGGGAAAAAACCUCUGGUCGUGAAUCAGAGCUGAUGGUACCGUAAGAAUAAGCACCGGCUAACUCCGUGCCAGCAGCCGCGGUAAU